rnacentral:rRNA from 1 species
UACGUAGGGGCCGAGCGUUGUCCGGAGUUAUUGGGCGUAAAGCGCGCGCAGGCGGCCUCGCGCGCCCGACCGUGAAAGCCCCCGGCGUUGAACCGGGGAGGGUCGUUGGGGACGGCGGGGCUUGAGGGCGGGAGAGGUCGGUGGAAUUCCCGGUGUAGCGGUGAAAUGCGUAGAUAUCAGGAGGAGCACCGGUGGCGAAGGCGGGGUCUCUGGGCCGAUACUGACGCUGAGGAGCGAAAGCGUGGGGAGCGAACAGGA